rnacentral:rRNA from 1 species
UACGGAGGGGGCUAGCGUUGUUCGGAAUUACUGGGCGUAAAGCGCACGUAGGCGGCUUUGUAAGUUAGAGGUGAAAGCCCGGGGCUCAACUCCGGAAUUGCCUUUAAGACUGCAUCGCUAGAAUUGUGGAGAGGUAAGUGGAAUUCCGAGUGUAGAGGUGAAAUGCGUAGAUAUCAGGAGGAACACCGAUGGCGAAGGCAGGUCUCUGGGCUGACACUGACGCUCGAUGCACGAAAGCGUGGGGAGCAAACAGG